rnacentral:rRNA from 1 species
CGGGACGGGUGAGUAACGCGUGGGUAACCUGCCCUGUACAGGGGGAUAACAGUCAGAAAUGACUGCUAAUACCGCAUAAGACCACAGCACCGCAUGGUGCAGGGGUAAAAACUCCGGUGGUACAGGAUGGACCCGCGUCUGAUUAGCUGGUUGGUGAGGUAACGGCUCACCAAGGCGACGAUCAGUAGCCGGCUUGAGAGAGUGAACGGCCACAUUGGGACUGAGACACGGCCCAA